UGGGGAAUUUUGGACAAUGGGGGCAACCCUGAUCCAGCCAUGCCGCGUGUGUGAAGAAAGGCCUUCGGGUUGUAAAGCACUUUCGGACGGAACGAAAUCGCGUCGGUGAAUAUCCGGCGUGGAUGACGGUACCGUAAGAAGAAGCACCGGCUAACUACGUG
rnacentral:rRNA from 1 species